GAGGGACAGCAUCGGAGGUAACAGAAUGUUAGGCAGGGGUCAGACCUCGGUAAGGAUCCUGUGAUACCAGCACAGGACUCUGCCACUUCGUCCACUCCUUCCACUGUUACUGGGACCGAAUGAAGGAUUCUUUUGUACCUCUGCCAUCCCUCAGACCUUGUCUAGCUGCUUUUCAUGGUCACAUCACAGAAUGUCCUUAGUGAGUCUCCGAGGCACAGACUUCUGCAUGCCCAGGAAUGUUUUCCUUCACCCUCUCUGAAGGGUGGCUUUGCUGCAGCUGGCACCGUGCUGAUGGUCACUUCUCACCUGACAUCGGGACACCCUUCAUUGACACCUUAGAGCCAGUGCAGCAGCCUUCUCUGCUGCUUUGGAGAAGUCUUGCCCACCUGGUCACCGGCAUCAGACCCCCUGGCCGCACUUGUUCUGGCUCUCUGCCAGGCACACUCUCCAGCCAGGUGCCUGGCCCUCAGCAGACGAAGCUUUGGAAACUCCAAGGGUUGUCCCUCCGACGAGCCUGCAGCCAGUCCAGGGACCCGGGACUCGCUCUGCACAGGUGGGGGAAGCUUUCAACUCAUUUUUACUCCAGGAAGGCAGAAUCCCGAGAAAUGAGCUGUUAACCAGCCAGCAGCCAGCUAUCUACUGGAGGAAUGGCAGUUUGGGUUUUUCCACCCUGUUUACCUUGCGUUAAGUACAUGAAAAUGAUGUCACUGUAUACCUUUCCAGCUGGUACAGGGGCAAGGUCUCUGGGCCUGGACUCUGGCCCCACCUCAAAGGUUUUCCCUCACCUUGCUCUGGUCAGCCUCUCCAGCGUGGGACAGCCAUGGUGAGGGUAGGAAGGCCAGUGUCCCACCUAGCUCUCUCCACCAGUCCUCUAAGCUCAGCCCUAACAGCCCUCACAGGGAAGACUACACUGUUUCUGGUUUGUCCCCUCGGCCCCUUCAUACCCCUCUGCUUGCUUGAACAGCUUUUGAAACAGCCUCCUGCCUAGAACUCUUGGUGCCAGCUUUGAGUUCAGCAUUACACAAUUGCCUGGAGAUAGAUAUGUCCACGCAACUUCAAAGCUGACUGCUCUCCGCGGCACCCUGGGGUGCCACCUGCCAGAGCAGCUCCAUGUUCAGCUCCACCCCCAAGGACCCCGAUUCUCUAUUCAUUGUCUCUUUCUCAGCCCCCUUCCCUUGAGGAGCCUUUCAACGCCAGCACCAGCCCCACGAUGUCCCCUUGGUAUUCUCAAGAUGUCUGUGUAGAAGAGAAUGCAUUUGGCACUGGGACUGCUGUGUGUGCAAGCUUUGCAAGACCCAAAGGCUGGCAGCUCCCCCAGGAAGAGAUGUGCAUGGGGUUGAGAGGAAGGGUGAGAUGGUGGCAGGGAGGUAGGACAGCUUCUGGAAGAGGGAAAAGGCAGGGACCACUCUGAGAGCUGGGAGGGGCCCUUCUCAGGGAAGUGUCACAACAGUCAGAUGACUUUGUGCUAACCCUGAUGCUCUCUGCCACAGUCCCCUAUCUGCUCUUUUCCCUGGCUUGGGAACAAGUCUCUGAGUUCUUAAGCAGUCCUCGAAGCUGGCAUGGUAGAGCAGGGAGGGGUUCCCUGACCCUUGGUCAGCAGACAGGAACAGGGGACUGUGAGGAGCCGCCCUCACAUUUGCCAUUAUAAGAUGGCACUGACAGCUGUGUUCUAAGUGGU